rnacentral:rRNA from 1 species
AGAAGCGUCGGUAAGACGUGGGCCCCGAGCGUUAUCCGGUGUUACUGGGCGUAAAGAGUCGUGUAGGCGGUUCGAAAAGUUACCGGGUAAAUCCCAACGCUCAACGUUGGAACUGGAGGUAAGACUCUCGGACUAGAGUUUUCUACAGGGUGAAUGGAACUGUGGGAGGAGUAGUGAAAUGCGUUGAUCCCCACGGGAACACCAGUGGCGAAGGCGGUUCACUGGUAGAAGACUGACGCUGAGACACGAAAGCUAGGGUAUCGAAGCAGAUUAGAGACCUGCGUAGUCCUAGCCGUAAACGCAUGCUUGCUAGCUGCAUUUCCGCCCCUUCGGGGGUCAGGUGUGGCGAAGGUAACCCGUUAAGCAAGCCGCCUGGGGAUUACGGUCGCAAGACUAAAACUCAAAGGAAUUGGCGGGGAGGCACACAACCAGUGGAACAUGUUGUUUAAUUCGAAACAAACCGAAAAACCUCACCUGGGUUUGACAUGUAGCUGCUCACCCUAUGAAAGUAGGGCUCCUUCGAGGGUGCUACACAGGUGCUGCAUGGCUGUCGUCAGUUCGUUCCGUGAGGAGUGCCCUUAAGUGGGACAACGAACGCAACCCCCAUCGUAUGUUAUAUCUGUCAUACGAAACUGCCUUGCCGUUGGCGAGGAGGAAGGAGGGGCAGACGUCAAGUCUGCAUGGUCCUUAUACCCAGGGCUACAAACAUGUUACAAUGAGAAGCAACAAUGAGCUUCGCGAGCUCGCGAGAGUCAGCAAAUCUCAGAAACCUUCUCUCAGUGGGGAUUGGAGUCUGCAAUUCGACUCCAUGAGCGCGGAAUUGGUAGUAAUCGCAGAUCAGCUACGCUGCGGUGAAUACGUUCUUGCCUCUUGCACACACCGCCCGUCAAGCCAACAAAGUCGGGGUGAUAUGAAUCUCG